CUUCCUGGGUGGAAUUUUCCCACAUUCCGCUCCAUGCCCCGUCAUAGCCUCUAAUAGCUAUUAUUUGCUUUUCUGUGAAAUCUCUUCUUCCUUAUCUUAUUUUCUCUUUUUUUUUCUUUUGUCAUCUCUGUUCUACAGAUGACCUUCUUGUGUUGAUGCUUCAGUUCAGACAGGCUGCUAUAGUUACAUUUAUCAGUGGUAUGAAGAGAAGUGCUCCCUGACUGCUGCUGCUCUGUUAACAUUUUUCUUUGUAAACUGUCAGAAUUUUGAUGAUAAAAGCUCUACCUAUGUAAAAAAGUAUGUUUUAGUAUAGUAUACGUACAAGCAUACAUUUGUACUUAUUUAUACUGACUCCACAAAUGCAGGUUGGACCUCAAGAUGGUUUGGAGGGGGUGGGAAUAUACCGUGUAAAAAUAUAAGCACUAUCUUUGAGUAACAGAUUUUUGCUUUAUGGUGGGAACUUUCAAACGUGUGAGUGUUUAAACUAGCUACUAACAUUUUCAGUGCACUUUGCUGGAAACAGAGGGAAGAAUUGCUGCUAGCGUUUUAAAUCUUGGUUUGUUUGAAGAAAAAGUCUCUGGAAGGUAAGGGAGCAUAUGGAAUAUAAAGCAGUGUUUUUACAGGAUUCAAGCUUGCCAUUUGUCUGAAAGGAUUUGUGAACUGACAUAGAAGGAAACCCUGCUUGUGAGAGGAGUGCUCAGAAUAAAUACUGUAGGAAAACUGCAGUGCUGUAACUGAGGAGUGGAGUUGCAGGCAUGAAGAACAUCCACUGAGUGAAUUUGCAGUUGGUGGCACUGGAAAUGGUGUGAGAUGGAACGAUUGUUCAUGCUGAUAGAGGUGCAGCCUGAGUUACAUGCAGAUGAUAAGUUGGCCUUUGCUCUCUGUCUGGAACGAGUUCUUUGAAAUGUUGGAAGUCUUGUCUCCUUGAGGGAAGUAAUGGAACAACUUCACGUGUGCCUGGGGAGGUUUUUCCAGUGGAAAGUAUUUAUUUUACCUGAAUGACUCAAGCAGUUGCACUUGUUACUGAAUCUGAACAGUAUAAACUUCAGUUUCAGUUUCAAAGGAAUAUGGACAUUUUUAACUGCUUAUUUUUGGUGCUGGUGAUGUGGGAACUUAAUGUGAUACAGAGGCUUCAAAUUCAUUUCCAAAAAGAAAAUAAAUACUAUAUACAAAUAUUAGCUGGCAGUGGGUUGGAGAGGAAUCUGAAGUGGCAAGGUGUGGAGUGUUGUGGAGAGCAGAAUGAGUUAGAGGCACUGUGCUGGUUGAGAAAUUAGGGGGAGGCAGAGGUAUUUCGCAGUGGAAAGAAGAAGGGGUGUUUUGGUUCUGUGUUUUCUGUUAUGCUGACGAUUCGAAAAGCUCUUGCCAGCUCCCAAGAGGCAGGGUUAGGGUUAUUUUUGGCAUCUGCUUCACCUCUUUGCCACAUUUCUUUCAGAGACUUGAAUACUGCUUGGGAUCCUCAAGUGGUGCAUAACUUCUGUGUUACUGAUGCUUUCAACUGAAGGCUUCUGGUGCUGUUCUACUAAAAGGGCAGAACUGAAAUCAGUGGCUUGCUUAACUUGGACAGUGGCUUACGCUGAGCUGCUAAACUGUUCUGAAGAAACAGAAGUGGCUUCAAAAUGCUGAUAUGUUACCCUGUAUGUAAAAGGACAGGCGCACUGGAAACCUGUGUGGAAAGAGGGAUGUGUACCUGUGCCAAGUGCUUAAGCACCUGACUCUUCUGGUUGCACGUCCUGCUCCUUCAGGCAGGUGGAAACACAACACAAACCUGGGAUGUGGGGGAUGUCACUGGGUUGGGUGGUUGAGGACCAGCUCGUCAUCUGAUCGCUAUUGUGCUGUUAAGCCUCGGUAGAGAUCAGAGGCUUUGCUUUGCAACCAGGAGCCAAAGAGCAUGUUCAAUGGUAAGCGGGGCGAUUUAAGUAGGAUGCCUAAAUAGAUCUAAGGACUGGCCUCCAGCAUUUUGCCAGGGUGCUCAAACCUUGAGAGCUUUCUGAUGUUUUUGAGGACAAAAAAAAAAAAAAAAUAUGGCUGCAGUUGCUUUCUGGAUGAUUGGAAAUGAUCUUUAAGGUAUAUGUAGGACUGAACAGAAAUGAACGUGGCAGUUUAAGAUGCCUGAAAUCAAGAUUUUAAUCUGUAUGGCACUCUCCACAUCAGGAGCAAUGACUUCAUCUGCAGGAGAAGGCUGUAAGAAUAAGAGCAGUAAAACUGACCUUGGCGUGCUAGCAGGAAACACACCUUCAUCUCCAGAGUUUCAGACUUGUCCUUAUUUCCGGGUAUCCGAAGGACUUGCCGGUGCUUACUGCUCUAUUUGGAUGAUAAUGGUUAAAAAAGCACACACCAGGUUUCAAAUCUACCUGAUUCCACUGAAGCAUCGAGUAUAUCUUAAAUAAGGGGGUAUUUAGAGUACAAAUGUGGCUGCUUACUGCAGGGUUAGGAACAAGUAUGUAACAGUAAAGCCACGGAAGGAUGCUCUCAAGGCAUGUAUGUGGCACUGCCAUUUUUAUAGGUGUGAUUUAUGGUCUCUGAGUUGUGUUGCAGUUGAAGCUGAUGGGAUGACUCAACAGCAUUUGUCUUUGAAUAAUGCGUUUUCAGAACAGAAGUCUAAAAUUAGAGCGAGGAAUGAGUUAAAGUCCUUAGUCUUACAGGCUGCUCAGGGCAACUGCUUCUCUGAGGCUGAUUUUGUAAUACUGGAUAUCAAUUUUUUUUCUUCCCUUCCUUGUGUCUCAUGACCUUCAAGGCCAUCGUGUUUAACCGAGUGUGUCUCUAAUAGAUGGAUCACAAGUCUUUAAAACUGUCAAUAUGCUUUUAAUGGAAAUUUGCUUGAAAAUGUAUACGUUACUUGCGUUAGGUUAUUAAAACUGGAAGGUGUCACAGUAUCUAGCAGCUGUUGCACAAAAAUACCCAGCCUUCCUAUUCAAGUUAGGGCUGAUAGUUGGACGUGCUAGUGACAAAACAGAAGUAGGAAUUACUGAUUGUUGCGGGUUCUUAAGUAGUUUUGGUGUUAGGAAUUGUGGAGGGAUCUAUGUAGCAGGUUUAAACCAGCUCUAGAUUUUGUGUUUGUGUAAGAAGUCUGUACUGAUCGAAAAAUCCAGGCUGCCUCUAGUCUUUUCUUCUCUGAGUCACAGUGAAACAACUGAAGCCUUUCUCCGAGGCUCCUGGCACUGUGCAUGAACUGUUCUCAAGCUCCCAUCCUGGUAUUUGUAAGUCUUGCAAUUGCUUAAACACAUAGGUAAAUCAGGGUCCUGGGGAGAAAGCUCUCAGUGAUGUGGGAUGUGCUUCUACCUUAAUAUGUUGUUUUUCUUGGUAACUCGUAGAGGCGCAGCGCAAGGACAGAAAGCAAGGAAGACUUUGCCCAUUCUUUCUGCAGGAUUCCUUAGCUUCUCACAAUGCUUUUGGGCUGGUUUAGGGAGGAGAACAAUGUUCACUAACCAUUCUUAGUGUGCUUGGACUUGUGGGAUCAUGUGAAUAAGCAUAUUGUUGGUGAGUAGGACUAAUUAGGAAGCGACUUGCUUGUGGAUUUGUCCUGUUUGCCUUCAACUUCACUGCUUUGUGUCUCGUACGAAACCCUCUGGACAAGACAACACAUGCUGAGAGCUGGGUGAGAGCUGCUGGUGAGCAGACGCAGGAUGGCUGAGUGGAGACCUACGCUGGGCCUUUCUCCCCUAGCACCUUUUUCCUUGUGAUCCUCAAAACUUUGAGAAACCCAGCCCUGUUUAGAAACCUUGCUCUUGUGCCAGGUCUGAAUGUGGCCGGCAGCUGUAAUAGCUCUUACAGUAGGUGAGCACAAGUGGGCUGGUUGCAUAAGGGGGAGCUGAAAAAGGCUGCCUGGCGUUCAGAUAGGAGGAUUAUUCAGCUCGGAAUUGGGACUUCUAGUGUUUCAUCCACAGCCAGCCAUCUGUACCUUCUGCAGCUCCUGCGAGCUGCCCCUUGUGUGGCAGCAGAGUGGUGUGGCUGGCAGAGCAGUCCCAGCUGGGGGGGUUGUUUGAAAUGCUUAAGGCAAAUAGCUUCAUGCUGUUGAAGGAAGUAGGUGAGUCCAAAAUGGUUGUUUUUUUUUGUUGUUGUUGUUGCUGUUUUCUAAACCCCACUUGACAUAAUGCUAUAAAUUAGGCAACCGUGUGUUUUGACAUAGCUUCUCAAUAGAGAACAUAGCUGGGAAGGGCAAAGGCUUCCUCUUCAGUGGGAGGUUUUGCAGCAAGUAGGUAGUACUGUGAAUCUGAGAAGGUAGCUGUGACAGCUUUACCUUCUCUGUUGGGAAACCCCCUCUUUCUUCCUUGACUUUCUCCCUGAAUCAAGCUCAGUUUCACUUUUUCUCAGGGGUAGGAGAGCAAAGUAAACUAGAAAGCCAUAAUUUACCAAGGGUUUAUAGCAGUGUCGGUACAUGCAAAAAGUAAGAACUAUUUGAAUACAAAUGGCAUAGACCAGUGAAAAGGUGACAUUUUAAUAAGUAUGUUUGCUUGCCAUUUAUUUUGUAAUACUUCUCAGGUGUUUCUGAGACAAUACUGGAGAUGCUGCUAGACAAAACUGAAUAAAACUCUAUAGUCACAAGAGAUCUGUGUUUCUACUUGCUGGUAUUGACAGUAUCUUAACUUGUUUGGCUGUGGUGCGGUUGUGCUUGGAGUCUUUUCUUGGAGUUACGUGCUUUUCUCCCCAUAUGAGUGCUUUUGAGUUUAAAUAUAAUU